UUGAUUCAUUUUGAAUUUUUGCUCAGAGCUGUAAGAAAUAACGUCCGCGAGGGGACUACAGAAAGAGUUUGGUUGGUUCCUCCGGCGGGCGCCUGGUUCCGGGGCGUGACCCCGCCGAGGCAACAGUUUGGUAACGUUCACAUUGGGUUUGGGAGUUGUAAACUCGGUAAUGAUCCCUCCGCUGGUUCACCAACGGAGA
rnacentral:misc_RNA from 1 species